CGCCGCCAAGUCGCCCAAGAAGGCCACCAAGUCCCCCAAGAAGGCCACCAAGGCCUAGAUCGUAGUAGUGCGGUGUGCUGAUGGUUCCAGUGUGGUUAGAUGUAGAAGCUGUUUCACUCUGUAUCCUGCGCCCCUGAUGUAAUCGGAAUCAAAGGGGAAGCCGCUUGCUUCCUCUUGACUAAUGAAUUAUCAACUAAGCGUUUCUGAACUGAAUUUGUCUCUGUUCAUUUGUUCAGUUAUUGUUUUUUUAUGAAGGGAUUUAUUCAGACUUUUUGCUGUAAAUCACUGAACUAAAUUUGUUUCAUGAAUUAUUUGGGAUCCAAUGAGACCCUCCAUUCAUAAGCUGACACGAUGAGCACAAAUUCCUCUAAUUUUUUUUACAGACCAUAGCUGACAUGUAACUGACGGACAGAACUGAAGCUGUUGUUCACAUGACGGGCAAUCUGCAGAUUCCGCUUCCCUAGUGCAAUUCCUAGAGCCGGAACGUUUAGCAAGGCUCUGAACCCUGAAGCUACACUCGUCUGUCAUCUGAACAAUUCUGCUGAGCACAUUUUUGUUUGGCGGCAGACAUUUUUGCCCCAUUCUGCUGCACACAUUUCUGAAAGCUAAAAAAAAUAUCCCCGCUUCCUCUUUCUCUCAGACAACUCAAGCUCUCGAUUGACCUGCUGUGCGUCUGCUCCAUUGUUGAGUGGGCAAAAAAAAGGCUUACUCUGCUGCUAAGAAGUAACCUUGACUUCCCUCUUUCACAUCCAUAUGAUUAAAACUAAAAUGACUUGAAUUAAUUUGCACCUGCCAUGUGGUCAUAACAACAUUUCUGAAGGAAGCAGGUGGCGUAGGCGACAAAAUAUUGCAGUAUCUCCAAUGGAUGAUCUGCUGGAUUUCCCUUAUUAAUAAUACUGCUGCUAAAUAGAUUUCCUUUAUUACUACAGGGAAAUCCAAAUUAAAGAGGGCAUGAGUCUUGAGAGUAUAAAUAGUAGUACGGCAACGCCAGUGUUGACAAUCCGCACUCAGAGAGAAGCACAUUUCGUUUACUAAUCACGCGUCAAGCAAAUCAUGCAUGUAAGGUUGAUCUCGCCAAAAAGUAAUAAUACUGCUAAAUGGAUCUCAUUUAUAAUAUAGGGAAUUCCAAAUUAAAUAGGGCAUGAAUCUUGAGAAUAUAAAUAGUACGGCAACAACGCCAGCGUUAGACAAUCCACACCGAGAGAGAAGCACACUUUCCCUUUGAGAUCGGCCUAAUAUCCGAGCAAAUUAAGAAGACGCACGGCAAGAGAAAGAAGGGAGAUCGAUCAUGGCUCGUGCCACUGCACUAGUGGCCCUUGUUGUCCUAGGUUCGCUGGUCGCCUCCGAGAGUAAGUUUUACCGAUUGUUUUUGCACAAGGCUGCGUUGCAUCACAUGCCCCUGUUUUACGUAACGUAAACGAACUUUAAUUUGUGACUAGUGAGUGACUAACUCUGGAUGAUGUGCAUGAUUAAUUUAACUCCAGCGGCGUCGGAGGAACUACAUUGCUGCACAGACCACCACAGCUGGGGCAACGGGUUGAAGAACAUCGGCUGCAGGCUGCCGGAGCAGAACGGCGAGUGCAACGCGUGGUGCCAGUCGGGCUGCCGCGGUGGCGACUGCAAGAUGCGUGACGGACUGCACUUCUGCCAUUGUUACUGCUGAUCAGGCACGGCGGUGUUCCGCCGUUCAAAUUUGCAUGCAACGAGUUGCCGUUAGAUGAUACCCUGUGUGUCGCUGCGAGAGUUGAUUGCAAUGUAAUUCAAUUCGAAUUGGUUGCAUGGAAUAUGAAUAUUUAAAUUAAUAAUGUGAGAGCGGAGAUUUAUUAAAAUAAAUACGAUUUAUCGACGGUGAGUCACUCAUUCUUAUGCUUUCAUGAACGGGCCUUGCAUGCAGGGGGGCCCUUCUAGGUUUGACCCACUUUGCUUCUUGCCCACGUGGUUGACUUUGUCUUUUUUUUAUUUCAUAUUCUCAUUUGACUUGUUGACUUUCAAAAAUUGCUUUGCUUAUACUUUUGUUUUCCGUCUUUGAUUAUACUACAUGGGACGCUUAUGGGUCUAAGCCUAUUUGCUUCUUCUUUUAUUGGGGGGUAAACCAUGUACUCCCUCCGUUCCUAAAUAUUUGUCUUUUUAGAGAUUUCAAAUAGACUAUCACAUAUGGAUGUAUAUAGACAUAUUUUAGAGUGUAGAUCACUCAUUUUGCUCCGUACAUAGUCACUUGUUGAAAUAUGUAGAAACACAAAUAUUUAGAAACGAAGGGAGUAUUACUCAAUCACAAUCUAUCUAUCUAUCUAUCUAUCUAUUAUCUAUUAUCUAUCUAUCUAUCUAUUUCUAUUACUUUAUUACUAUACUAAUUAGAGACUCCCAAAUAGUUACCACAUUAAUUAGAAAAUAGAAGCCGUUAAUUUGAUGGGACCAGAGUUAUUACGGUGUGGAUUGAUCCAUGUAGAUUGCCAUGUUUAGAUUUUUUUUUCAUGCAUGAAACGAAUAGUAUUCCAUACAAACUCUUAUUCUACGCAGACUUUCUUUACGGUCAAGCCUCCUAGCCAUCCUAGACAUCUUCAAUUGAUAGAGGAAAAUUGACGCUAGGGCUACCAUCGCCAAUGGCUCCUACGCAUGACCUAUUUUCAACCAUAACCUAGCUAGCCUUCAUGUGUACCCUCAACAACUACGCCUCUUCUAUAGGCUUGAUAAAUAUCAACCGGUUUUGGUUGGAGAUUACCGAUAUUGCAGUGCCCAAUGGCCUAAUCAAAGCAGUAAUCACCUCGACGGCUCAUCCGAGUACUUUCCGGCGACACGGACGUAUGUACAAGGCAAGCUCAAUUACUGCCAAGCCAAUCUGUGUUGCAAGGAGAUGAUUCUCAAUCGUCUGCGAAUACAUACGACAGAGUAUGCCCACGUAAAGAAGCUAGCAGGCUGCUGGAUUAGCGAACUAUACGCUCACGUCAAGAAGCUAGCAGGCUGCUAGAUUAAUUCUCCCUGGAGACGCAACUAUACGGUUUUAAUAGCUUCGAUCUGUUCCAUGAAAAACAUAUGAUGACUUGUGGCGUGCAUGCCUGGAUCAAGCAAGUGCGUACAUGCAUGCAGUCUAGAUAUGGACGGAAAGAACUCAGUCGAUUGGACGACUGCGAGCGUACUUCUGAUGGAAUCUAAUCUUCUGAUGAAAUCUAAUCGUUCAUGAGCAAGUAUGAUUGGGCCUGCACCAACAAUAAAUGACUGAAUUUUUUUCGUGCUGCAGUUUCUGCAUGCUUCUUUUGCACGACAGUGUUAAGAUUCUGUAAUUUGAAAAUUUCUUGUGAUCAGCGUCAAAUAAUGGAUACCCUCAAUUAUGCAAGUGCUCGGCCUCCUUCGGGAGGUUGCUUUAUUACAUCAAUCUUCUGAAAUUUUCUUCUAGAGUGCAUGUGCAUGUCUAUCGUGCAUAAAUACUUUGGAUUUUUUUUGCGAGGGGAUUAUUUGCUUUUGCCUUCUAUGUACGUAAAACGCAAAGACGCCUGAAGCUGUUUCCUAGGAAUGUGAACUGAUUAAUUAUAACUUUAUUUGGAGAUGAGUCUAAACUCAAUAAUAGGUUGAUACAAUUUUGGGGAAUAAGAAACGCAACUUUCCCACAACAAAAGCACUCAUUUUUUGGCAUCUUCAAAAGCACUCUUAUGAUGUUUCCUUUAAAUUGCAAACGUAAUGUUCCCAGCAAAUGAAACUUUCAUAUUGUUUCGUUUCAUCAUCUAUUGAACUAUUGUAGCUUUCAAGGGAUUCCACCGGCGGUUAAUUAUGUCUAUAGGGUUCAUCAAUCAUGUAAAUCAUUUUUUCCUACUUCUAUCCGGCUCCAAUUUGUCAUAUUUUGUUGCCAAAGGCCAACAGUGCUGCUAGAUGCUUGAUCAAUCAUGGCGUGUUUUCAUCAAGUUUUCAGAAGGUAUUCAUUUUGCAGUUGUACUUCUUUUAUCAAGACCUAUAUCUUCUACUCUUUUGUGAAGUACUAAGAGUAAAACUUACUAAUUAGUAGAACAAUGUGAAUUUGUAGAACUAACUGUUUUGUUCACUUAUUUAUUUAUAUUUGAAACAGUUAGGUAUAUUUCAAGUACUGUUUUGCUUGGGGAUAUAAGCACAUAUAUAAAAUUAUAAACUUUAUAAAUACAUUCUUAGGAGAAGUUGAAAGAAAGGCUAAUUAGUUACUGAAUUGGGAAAAUAAUUAUUGAAGUAAAAAAAUUAACGACAUUUUUGACAUACAUAUAUAGGCACAAUCAAAAAAUUUACUUUCAUAUUUAAUAAUUACAAAUAAAUAUUUACAUAGCAUUUUUAACUGAUGUGAUUACGAAACAGUUUUUCAUGAAGGUUCUACGUUACAAUGUAUUACUACUAUCACUCGAUCAUUUGAGAACUUUUCUAUAUAUUAAUAGUCAGAGUUAGAUAUUUUACGUGCAUCUUUUAUUGGUGCUAUCCAUUUAAUACAAGAUGCGGCAUGUUUCAUUAUGUGGUGUUGUUUUGUUAUAAUCUCAUCCUUUUGUGUUCACAGACUGGAAAUUUUGCAUAUUUAUCUUCUAAGGAGACGAGUAACUAGUUUGUGUCGCCUUGCAGAGGGGGUGCAAUGAAGAUAAGAUUGAGGAUUUCCAAGUACAAGAUGUUAGGAAGGAGCCUUGCAAGAGAAGUAGGAGCUGCGCUGAGCCUCUUCAACCUGCUAAGGUAAGUCACUGUAUGCAACUCAACAGUUCAAUUCCUUGUUUGUUUCAGGCAUAGUUAAUUUUCUGUUUUCACUUGCUUUAUUUGUCCUCAGUUAAUGAGAUGCCCAAAUAAUCAUGCUUGAUGUUCGGUACUUGUAUCACUAUUAGUUGACAUAAUUAAAUGCCUUACCAUUUAAUUACUCUGCCGAAGUGUGCCUGAAGCUUUGAAGUCUAUUAACCAACUAUUAUUGCAUGAGGCUCACAAUCUAGUUUAUACUACGCUAAUGAUUGCAUAGUUUUGCCUGCUGUAAUAUGUUUGUAUGAAACCCUCUGAUGUUCAUUAUGCUCCCUAAGACUUUAAUUGAGGCACAGAAUGGCCAACUGCUUGCUUACUUAUACGCAAUGUGCUGUCUAAAUUUGUAACUUGUCUGUGUUUUCGAUUGGGCCCAACAUCAUUCUUCUCUGAUGAGCUAAGAGGGAUUUCUGUAUGCAGGCUGCACAGACUAUCUUUUUUAUAAUUUUUAAAAUAUCACCUGCUUAUGCUUCAUGACGUGUAACAUUUUUUUAAAGUGACGUGUAACAUUAUUGUUAGUCCUGUUUUGCCAUGUAGUACAAAAUAGUGUAUUGUUCGCUUCACUGUUGUAACUAUAUUUUUGCCCUAGUCAUGUGUACUUACAGAAACAUUUCAGGAUGAAGUGACAUCAACACAAAGAUCUGCGAGCAGUGCGGCAUGGCCGUUACCGAAUGAUUAUGAAUUGGAAUUGGAAUGUGCUGAUGUUCUCGAGCAUCAACUAGAGGUGGCAAGACAACGUGUACAUGAUUGUCAACAUAUAAUCAACAAGUUGAGACUGGACAUGCAGGUAUUAGAUGCAGGAGUCAAAAAAAUGAAACAAGACACUGAGGUAACCAUGAAGGAAUUGGAGAUUUUGCAGACUGAAAUUUGUGCUAUCUGAAUCCGGCCAAUCCUAUUUUCUGAAGAGAUUAUAGUUCAAAUGGAGUUAAGUUGAUGCGCGUCCAUGAUGUAUGAGCUGUAUUUGCCCAGUGUAUGUAAUUUGUUGUUUGUGUAUGCUUUAUUAUCACCUGUGCCGAACCAUAAUGCCCAGUGGGUAUAAUCGGCUGUAAUUUCUUUAUUGUAUAGUGUAGGAUUAUUCUACCUUUCUAUGCCUUCAUCUCUUUGUUGUAUAGUGUAUGCUUUUUAGAGGUGAUAGUAUUGAGUAGGAUAAUUCUUUGAAUAUGCUAUAUCGUUCAAACGGGGGCCAACUCGCCCGACCAUGGCCCUUCACGGGCCGUCGAAUCCAUGGGCCUUCUACGUCUCGUAGGAUUCAUGGGCCGCCGACUCAUUUAUGGGUCUUGUACGGGCCUUUAAUGGGCCAUAGACGGGCCUUUUUUGUGUAUUGCUGAUGUGGAUUUUGUAUUGAUUUUUUAUUGUGGAUGAUAAUUCUAAUGGAUGUUAAUAUGGAUGACAAUAAAAACAAUUUAAAACAUAUAUUAUAAAAAAUGUGGAUGUUAAUAUUUUCUAUAUAAGCUUGGUAAAUAUUUUGUAUUGAUUUUGUUGCAUGAAUAAAAAUUGGUAUUAAAAUAUAUAUUAUAAAAAAAUGUGAAUCGUGUAUUUGAUAGGUCUAUAAAAAUAUAGACAUAUGGUGCUCGCCGGAGGAGGCCCUAACGAUCGUCGGAGGAGUCCCCGGCGAUUGCCAGUGAUGAGUCCCCGACGAACGCCGUAGGAGUCCCUGACGAACGCCGAAGGAGUCCCCGACGAUCGCUGGUGACGAGUCCCCCGCCGACGAUCGCCGGUGGAGUCCCCGACGAUCGCCGAAGGAGUCCCCGAUGUUAAGUGCUAAGGAAAGGGGCCAGCCGGAGAGCUCUCCGCGGGGAGGGGGGCCCGAUGAUCACCGGUGAGGACACUAGUAGAAAACUGGGCUUUGGUCAGAGGGCAAUAUUCACAUUAGUCCCGGUUCAGUCACGAACCGGGACUAAUGCGAGCAUUGGUCCUGGUUCGUGCGGCGAGGGGCCUGCCGGGCCUCGUGGGGGCAUUGGUCCCGGUUCGUCCGGCCCCUUUGGUCCCGGUUGGUGGGACAAACCGGGACCAAUGGGCCACGCUCCUGGCCCACCACCCUUUAGUCCCGGUUCAUACCACAAACCGGGACUAAAGGGCUGGUCCUAGUUGCGGCCAGUGUUCAGUCCCACCUCGCCAACCGAAGGGCGCUCACACCAGUUUAUAAGCCCGUCCCUCUCUGCCUUGUUGAGCUCCUCUCAAAGUGAAAAUAGAUGCCCUUAUAUAGAGAAUUUGACCUAAAUUCACAGUAAAUUUCUUUGAAUUUCAUAGAAAUUUAUUAUGAAUUUAGGUUGAAUUUUCUCUAUAGGCGCAUCCAUGUUCAUUUUUUUAUAGUAAAUAAAAUAAAUAAACCUUAAUAAAAUAAAUAAAAAUAAAUAAACCUUAAUAAAAUAAACUAUAGUAACUAAAAUAAAUAAACCUUAAUAAAUUAAAUAAAAAUAGCAGCAGUAAAAUAAAUAAAAAUAGCAGCAAUAAAAUAAAUAAAAAUAAAAUAAUUAAAGUAAAAUACAUAAGUAAUUAGAAAUAAAAUAAAUAAGUUUUUUGUUGUAAGUAGAAACAAAACAANNNNNNNNNNNNNNNNNNNNNNNNNNNNNNNNNNNNNNNNNNNNNNNNNNNNNNNNNNNNNNNNNNNNNNNNNNNNNNNNNNNNNNNNNNNNNNNNNNNNNNNNNNNNNNNNNNNNNNNNNNNNNNNNNNNNNNNNNNNNNNNNNNNNNNNNNNNNNNNNNNNNNNNNNNNNNNNNNNNNNNNNNNNNNNNNNNNNNNNNNNNNNNNNNNNNNNNNNNNNNNUAGGCCCCACAGGCAAAGAGAACGGUUAGGCCCGAAAGCCUGCAGUUGAGAGGAGCUCGAGAGGGUGGGCGCAGCAUCGCUUAUAAACCACUCUCGAGCCCUCUCAACUAGCGAGGUGGGACUAAACUUUUGACGCGGGGCAGCACAAGGCCUUUGGUACCGGUUGGUGCCACCAACCGGGACUAAAGGGGGUCAUUGGUCCCGGUUCGUGGCACCAACCGGGACCAAAAGCCUUUAGUCCCGGUUGGUGCCACGAACCGGGACCAAUGAGUUCCCUACAUAUACCCCAUCGCCACAGCAGAGCACUCCACAGUGCUCUGUUUUUUCUGGCCGGCGAGGGGAGGGCAUUUGGGUGCUCUAGCUCACCUCCUAUGCACAUGAGGUGUUCGAUGAAAUGUCUGAGCCACACUAGUUAAUCUUUCUCCUCUCGAAACUCGACCUCCGAGCUCCAUUUUCCCCGAGAUUUGUCUAGGUUUAGCGGUCCGUCACGUCCCGUCCCCGUCUUCACCGCCGUCGAUCGCCCGCGCCGAUCUCAUCGCCAGCACCACCGUGGUGAGCCUCUUGUUCUUAUCUUCUUUCUGAAAGGAAAAAAUUCUUACUUUAGAUAGUUACUUGUCUAAUUUUGUUACUUUUAUUAUUCCUUCUUAUUACAUAGUGCGAUGGUUUUGGUAUCCGCCCCCGUCGGCCCUCGUCCUGUCUAUGAUUCGGAUGUGGUAUAUAUUAUCUUUUUAUAACUAUUUGGUUUAUUUAUUGUUUAUGACAAAUAUACCGACCAACGUGACAUAGAUUUUAUUUAUCUAGGAGGUGGUUGAACCGGAAAUUCUAACCGACCCUAUUGUCGAGAGGUUAAAUUUAGUUGAAGAAGAAAACAAUUACUUGAAGGAAAAAAUAAAAAGAAUUGAGGAGGAGAAGAUGAUAUUGGAGUUGCAUGUUGCGGAUGUCAUCGAUGAUCACAAGAUCAAGAUGGAUGCAAUGCGCUUGAAGAUUAGAAAGAUUAGAAAAUAUGCCAUCCAUACCGAGGCUUGGUAUCAUUAUGCCGUUGGAUCAAUUGUUACCUUGGUUGCGAUUAUGAUCGCAUUUGUUUUCGCAUUGAAAUGUUUUACAUAGUUUCAAUGUAUGGUUUAAUUAAUUAGAUGCUCUGGAGAGCUAUAUAUAUGUUGUUAGAUGAGAACUAUGUAUGUACUUUGGUUUUAAUGUGAUGAUGAACUUCUAUUAAUUUGGUCACUUAAUUAUCUAAUCAUGAUGUUCUGUAAUGGUUUUUGACACACUUAAUUAUAUAAUGCACGCAGAUGAACCGACAAUGGAUGUACGGUGACAGACACACCUCCGAGUACAUUAAGGGCGUGCAUGAUUUUCUCGAAGUGGUUGAGGCAAACCAGCAGAAUGGUUUUAUGUGUUGUCCAUGCCCUAUAUGUGGGAAUACGAAGUCUUACUUUGACCGGAAAUCCUUCACACCCACCUGCUUUACAAGGGUUUCAUGCCACACUAUAAUGUUUGGACGAGGCAUGGAGAAAUAGGGGUUAUGAUGGAAGACGGCGAAGAAGAAGAGGACGAUGACAACUAUGUGCCCCCUGAAUACGGUGAUGCUGCAACGGGGGAAGCUGCUGAAGAUCAAAAGGAACCAGACGAUGUGCCCAAUGAUGCUGCAAGGGGGGAAGCUGCUGAAGAUCAAGAGGAACCAGUGCCCGAUGAUGAUGAUCUCCGCCGGGUCAUUGUCGAUGCAAGGACGCAAUGCGAAAGUCAAAAGGAGAAGCUGAAGUUCGAUCGCAUGUUAGAGGAUCACAAAAAAGGGUUGUACCCCUAUUGCGAAGAUGGCAACACAAAGCUCGGUACCGUACUGGAAUUGCUGCAGUGGAAGGCAGAGAAUGCUGUGCCUGACAAAGGAUUUGAGAAGCUAUUGAAAAUAUUGAAGAAGAAGCUUCCAAAGGAUAAUGAAUUGCCCGACAGUACAUACGCAUCAAAGAAGGUCGUAUGCCCUCUAGGAUUGGAGGUGCAGAAGAUACAUGCAUGCCCUAAUGACUGCAUCCUCUACCGCAGUGCGUACAAGGAUCUGAACGCAUGCCCGGUAUGCGGUGCAUUACGGUAUAAGAUCAGACGAGAUGACCCUGGUGAUGUUCACGGCAAGCCCCCCAGGAAGAGGGUUCCUGCGAAGGUGAUGUGGUAUGCUCCUAUAAUACCACGGUUGAAACGUCUGUUCAGAAACGAAGAGCAUGCCAAGUUGAUGCGAUGGCACAGUGAGGACCGUAAGAAAGACGGGAAGUUGAGAGCACCCGCUGACGGGUCGCAGUGGAGAAAAAUUGAGAGAAAGUACUGGGCUGAGUUUGCAGCUGACCCAAGGAACGUAUGGUUUGGUUUAAGCGCGGAUGGCAUUAAUCCUUUCGGGGAGCAGAGCAGCAAUCACAGCACCUGGCCCGUGACUCUAUGUAUGUAUAACCUUCCUCCUUGGAUGUGCAUGAAGCGAAAGUUCAUUAUGAUGCCAGUUCUCAUCCAAGGCCCUAAGCAACCCGGCAACGACAUUGAUGUGUACCUAAGGCCAUUAGUUGAAGAACUUUUACAGUUGUGGAAUGGAAACGGUGUACGUACAUGGGAUGAGCACAAACAGGAGGAAUUUAACCUGCACGCGUUGCUGUUUGUAACCAUCAACGAUUGGCCCGCUCUCAGUAACCUUUCAGGACAGACAAACAAGAGAUACCACGCAUGCACGCACUGUUUAGAUGACACUGAAAGUAUAUACCUGGACAAAUGCAGGAAGAAUGUGUACCUGGGCCAUCAUCGAUUUCUUCCGACCAACCAUUAAUGUCGAAAGAAAGGCAAGCAUUUCAAAGGCGAGGCAGAUCACCGGAAGAAGCCCGCCAUGCGUACCGGUGAUCACGUACUUGCUAUGGUCAAUGAUUUACACGUAAUCUUUGGAAAGGGUCCCGGCGGACUAGCUGUUCUGAAUGACGCUGAGGGACACGCACCCAUGUGGAAGAAGAAAUCUAUAUUUUGGGACCUACCCUACUGGAAAGAGCUAGAGGUCCGCUCUUCAAUCGACGUGAUGCACGUGACGAAGAACCUUUGCGUGAACCUGCUAGGCUUCUUGGGCGUGUAUGGGAAAACAAAAGAUACACCUGAGGCACGGGAGGACCUGCAACGUUUGCACGAAAAAGACGGCAUGCCUCCGAAGCAGUAUGAAGGUCCUGCCAGCUACGCUCUUACGAAAGAAGAGAAAGAAAUCUUCUUUGAAUGCCUGCUCAGUAUGAAGGUCUCGACUAGCUUCUCGUCGAAUAUAAAGGGAAUAAUAAAUAUGCCAGAGAAAAAGUUCCAGAACCUAAAGUCUCAUGAUUGCCACGUGAUUAUGACGCAACUGCUUCCGGUUGCAUUGAGGGGGCUUCUACCGGAAAACGUCCGAUUAGCCAUUGUGAAGCUAUGUGCAUUCCUCAAUGCAAUCUCUCAGAAGGUGAUCGAUCCAGAAAUCAUACCAAGGCUAAGGAGUGAUGUGGCGCAAUGUCUUGUCAGUUUCGAGCUGGUGUUCCCACCAUCCUUCUUCAAUAUCAUGACGCACUUCCUAGUUCAUCUAGUCGACGAGAUUGUCAUUCUGGGGACCGUAUUUCUACACAAUAUGUUCCCCUUUGAGAGGUUCAUGGGAGUCCUAAAGAAAUAUGUCCGUAACCGCGCUAGGACAGAAGGAAGCAUCUCCAUGGGCCAUCAAACAGAGGAUGUCAUUGUGUUUUGUGUUGACUUCAUUCCUGGCCUUAAUAAGAUAGGUCUCCCUAAAUCACGGUAUGAGGGGAGACUGACUGGAAAAGGCACGCUUGGAGGGGACUCAAUAAUAUGCAGGGACGGAUAUUCUUGGUCUCAAGCACACUACACAGUUCUACAGAACUCUACCUUGGUGACCCCGUAUGUCGAUGAACACAAGAACAGUCUGCGCUCCAAACACCCGGAGCAGUGUGACGACUGGAUUACAUGUGAACACAUCAGGACUUUCAGCAGUUGGUUGGAAACACGUCUCAGAGGUGACACCACUGUUUGUGAUGAGUUGUACUCGUUGUCCAGGGGACCAUCUUCGACUGUAUUGACUUACAAAGGAUACAAAAUAAUGGGAAUACAUUUUACACGAUCGCCCAAGAUCAAAAGAGCACCAACCAAAACAGCGGUGUCCGCUUUGAUGCAGCAACCGAGAGGGGAAAGGACACAUAUUAUGGUUACAUAAUGGACAUAUGGGAACUUGACUACGGACAUGAUUUUAAGGUCCCUUUGUUUAAGUGCAAAUGGGUCAAUCUGUCAGGAGGCGGGGUACAGGUAGACCCACAGUACGGAAUGACAACAGUGGAUCUGAACAAUCUUGGGUACACUGAUGAACCGUUCGUCCUAGCCAAUGAUGUGGCACAGGUUAUCUAUGUGAAGGACAUGUCUACCAGACCGAGAAAAAGAAAAGAUAAGGAAGCGAAUACAUCAUACGAUGGGCCAAAGCGCCACAUAGUUCUUUCAGGAAAAAGGGACAUUGUGGGAGUGGAGGGCAAGACAGACAUGUCUGAAGAUUAUGAAAAGUUUCAUGAAAUUGCUCCCUUCAAAGUCAAGGUUGACCCAAGCAUCCUGAUAAACGAUGAAGAUUAUCCAUGGUUACGGCGCAAUAAGCAAAUGACACAAGCGAAGAAAAAGUGAAGACUUUCUCCCGCAACUAUUAUGAUGAUACCAUGCCAACUUUGUAACAGACGAGUAUGAUACAAUUGUCCGUUUUGUACACGAAGUGCAUGUAGUUUUUGCCGUAACCCUCUCAACUUUCUUGCACAUGCUAUGUGGAUGAAAUGAUGAUACCAUGCCAACUUUCAACCUUUUCAGAGUUCAUUUGAAAUGCUUUUCAAUUUUAGGGUCUUAUAGCUCAAAAUAAUUAGUAAAUGCAUGAAAAAUAACAGGCCAAAAAUUAAAAAUUAUGCCACCUACUGGGCCACCACGGCCUGAAUACGAUUAGAAACCCAUCCAUGGGCCAGGAUUCAGGCCCGCAGAAGGCCCAGUAGGCCCACAGGCAUGUACAGAGAGGUUAGGCCCGUAAGCCUGCUUUAGAGAGGAGCUCGACAGCUCAGGCGCACCGCACCUUAUAAACAGGUGCGGCUCUCUCUCAGCUAGCGAGGUGGGACUAAACUCCCACCACCACGCCGCUGUGCAAAGCCAUUGGUCCCGGUUGGUGGCACGAACCGGGACCAAUUCCACCCUUUGGUCCCGGUUGGUGCCACGAAUCGGUACUAAUGAGGCUGUGGCCCCACGAGCACCUUUAGUACCGGUUCGUGGCACGAACCGGUACUAGAGUUUCUUACUAAGCAGUUUUUUAGUCCCACCUUGCUAGCUGAGAGGCACUAGAAGCGGUUUAUAAGCCCUGAGUGCAGAGACGAUGAAGAAGAGGCGCAAUGCUCACCUUCACGUUGCUUAGUUUCAAGCCUUGAGGAAUAAGGUAGACUGCAUGGAGCUAUGUGCAGUGCAGUCUACACUAUUCCGAAAGGCUUGAAACUAAUUAACGAGCAUUGCGCCUCUUUUUUAUUUUUAAUAACUUAUUACAACUCCGGACUUCUUGUGUUACGACAAAAUAAAAUAAACUUUAAUAAAAUUUAUGAAACUAAAAUUAACAAAGUAUUUUCUGUUCAAAACAUUAUAAGAAACCUCUAGUAUUAUUGAAACUAAAAUCAUAUAAAAUUGAUGCAACUAAAAUUAUCGAAGUAUUUUCUGUUCAAAAUCAUUAAAAGCAAAAAAAAAAUCANNNNNNNNNNNNNNNNNNNNNNNNNNNNNNNNNNNNNNNNNNNNNNNNNNNNNNNNNNNNNNNNNNNNNNNNNNNNNNNNNNNNNNNNNNNNNNNNNNNNNNNNNNNNNNNNNNNNNNNNNNNNNNNNNNNNNNNNNNNNNNNNNNNNNNNNNNNNNNNNNNNNNNNNNNNNNNNNNNNNNNNNNNNNNNNNNNNNNNNNNNNNNNNNNNNNNNNNNNNNNNNNNNNNNNNNNNNNNNNNNNNNNNNNNNNNNNNNNNNNNNNNNNNNNNNNNNNNNNNNNNNNNNNNNNNNNNNNNNNNNNNNNNNNNNNNNNNNNNNNNNNNNNNNNNNNNNNNNNNNNNNNNNNNNNNNNNNNNNNNNNNNNNNNNNNNNNNNNNNNNNNNNNNNNNNNNNNNNNNNNNNNNNNNNNNNNNNNNNNNNNNNNNNNNNNNNNNNNNNNNNNNNNNNNNNNNNNNNNNNNNNNNNNNNNNNNNNNNNNNNNNNNNNNNNNNNNNNNNNNNNNNNNNNNNNNNNNNNNNNNNNNNNNNNNNNNNNNNNNNNNNNNNNNNNNNNNNNNNNNNNNNNNNNNNNNNNNNNNNNNNNNNNNNNNNNNNNNNNNNNNNNNNNNNNNNNNNNNNNNNNNNNNNNNNNNNNNNNNNNNNNNNNNNNNNNNNNNNNNNNNNNNNNNNNNNNNNNNNNNNNNNNNNNNNNNNNNNNNNNNNNNNNNNNNNNNNNNNNNNNNNNNNNNNNNNNNNNNNNNNNNNNNNNNNNNNNNNNNNNNNNNNNNNNNNNNNNNNNNNNNNNNNNNNNNNNNNNNNNNNNNNNNNNNNNNNNNNNNNNNNNNNNNNNNNNNNNNNNNNNNNNNNNNNNNNNNNNNNNNNNNNNNNNNNNNNNNNNNNNNNNNNNNNNNNNNNNNNNNNNNNNNNNNNNNNNNNNNNNNNNNNNNNNNNNNNNNNNNNNNNNNNNNNNNNNNNNNNNNNNNNNNNNNNNNNNNNNNNNNNNNNNNNNNNNNNNNNNNNNNNNNNNNNNNNNNNNNNNNNNNNNNNNNNNNNNNNNNNNNNNNNNNNNNNNNNNNNNNNNNNNNNNNNNNNNNNNNNNNNNNNNNNNNNNNNNNNNNNNNNNNNNNNNNNNNNNNNNNNNNNNNNNNNNNNNNNNNNNNNNNNNNNNNNNNNNNNNNNNNNNNNNNNNNNNNNNNNNNNNNNNNNNNNNNNNNNNNNNNNNNNNNNNNNNNNNGAGAGGAAAAAGGAAAAUAAGAAGAGGAAGAAAGGAGAAGAAGAGGAGAGGAAGAAGAGGAGAAAUAAAUAAGAAGAGGAAAAAAGAAGAAAAAGAAGAGGAGAAGAAGAAAGGAAUAGAAGAGAAGAAGAAAAAAUAGAAAAAAAAUCUAUUUUUUCUUCUUCUCUCCUCUAUUCCUUUCUUCUUCUCCUUUUUUUUUCUUCUUUUUUAUUCCGAUCUUCUCCUCUAUUCCUUUUCUUCUUCUCCUCUUUUUAUUUCUUCUUCGUUUUCUUAUGUUUUAUCGGGUCUCGUCGUCGAUAUACCCCUCUCCCGAUAACUUCAACACGAGGGGAGUCGAUAUACCCCCUCCCCGAUAACAUUAUUUUCCCAUGUAUGUAUGUCGUCGUUGUCGAUAUAUAUAUAACUCCCUCCCAGAUAACUUCGACAUGAUGGACGGUCGAUAUUUAUACCCCCUCUCGACCGUGAUAACUUAUACCAAGGGAGCACCCCCCGGCCCUCUCGCUCGACCAAAAUUCUCGAGGACACCCAAACCCUAGAAAAAAAACGAUGUCGGUCUCCUACCCCCUCCCGCCGCGCCCCUACCCUUGAAGCGUUGCCGAGGCCACCCCAAACCCGGAAUAAGCUAGGUCUACGUUUGCACUAACCACCUGCUGUCAUGUUUGUGUAAUAAUUGCCAUGUUGUAAUAUUUGCAGAAACAAUGGAGCACGGACGAGACGAGCAAGCAGAAGAGGUGUUGGGGGACAUAAUCUUAGCUGGAGGUGAUAUCUUGUCGUAUCUUAACGACAAUGAUGGUCUGGAAGAACAGGGUGAAGAAGCAGGCUACGGUGAUCGAAGAGUGGAGGAGGAAAGACAUGAUUAUGAUGGCUCCGGUGACCCAAAGCUGGUGCAAGAAGGAGCCCAUGGUGACGGCUCCGGUGACCGAACAGAGUCCGGCCAGGUAAAUAUAUUAGUUAAGCCUGUGCUGACUAGCUAAUUGAUGCAUUCAUUGUUUUGGUCUGUACACAUAUUAAUUAACACUCGUCUUUCUUCUUUUUUCUAGCCCUCCAGAUCGAGCACAACUGCGGUAAAGAGACGAGGCCCGAAGAGAAAGUUGCGCUCAGAUGAAAGGUUUGAGAUCACAGCAAUCGCGCGCGACGGCCAACCGAUUGAACCCAUCCGGACAAAGGAUGCAUUUGCUGCUCAGUGCGGGGUUCUAGUUAGGGACAAGAUCCCGAUCAGCAUCCAGCAAUGGUAUAAGCCUAAGAAGGAAGACCCUGAGGUGUCUUAUGUCAACGAUAUGCAGAAAGAUGAUCUUUGGACUGAGCUGAAGGCAAAUUUCACCCUACUGCCAGAGGAGGAUCCGGAGAAGCCAGUUAAAGAGCAAUUAAUUAAGUCUCAUGCUCUUAAGAAGAUGGCAGACCUAUUCAGAAGGUGGAAGAAUGAGCUGAAAACGUUUGUCGACAAAGAAGAGACACCAGAAUUAAUCGGCCGGUAUGAGAAGAUCAGAGAUCACUGGCCCGCAUUUGUGGCCCACAAGACAUCAGAAAAGAGUAAGAAGAUGUCAGCAACAAACAAGAAGAAUGCUGCUAAGAAGAAGCUUCACCAUCGCACGGGGUCAGGUGGCUACCUCAAAGCCCGGCCUAAGUGGGCCAAGGCUGAGAAUGAUCUGCUUGAAAAAGGGAUCGAACCACAGACAAUGAACUGGACAGACCGUUGCCGGACUUGGUUCUUCGAGGCUGGCGGAACCUUGGACCCUGUAUCAGGGAGGUGCGUUUGGACGAACGAGCUUUUGAGAAUACCAGUCAAGAAGAUUCAGCAAUAUAUCAAUGCAGCACAGGAAGGGACGUUCGUUCCAGACAGAGAGAACGACGAGCUCACAAUGGCCCUCGGGAAUCCUGAGCACCCUGGACGGACACGAGGCACGCCAGGCUCCGUUCCGUGGAAGGCUGGUUUUCCGAACGCAGGCGGUUACAAAAGCCAGGAGAGGAGGAAAAAAAUGGAGCAGACCCAAAUUAAGAAGCUGCACGAAAGGGUUCAAGCGCUAGAGGAACGGGACGGCAAUCGACAUGCCGAAACUACCCCCGAAGCUACCCCGCCAUCUCAGCGGAGAAGCAGCGUGGCUUCCACCGAGCUGCUUCAGCCGGAGCAUGUCUUGACGGCUCCUGCUAGCUACCCCGUGGAUGCUAUCACGGAGUCUCAACAUUGCCACCUUAUGGCGCAAUGGCAGAACUUCAAAGUCAAGGCGGCUGUUGGCUCUGUUUUACCUCCUGAACCCGGCGCAACCUACCACUGCCGGCCGAUUCCAGAAGGAUAUGCUAGGGUGAUGGUGGAUGAAAUAACAGAGGGAUUUGAGGACCUCCAGCUUGACCACCCUACCGGUGAAGGGGAGACUCGGCUGGGUUUAGCUCUGGAGACUCCGUGCCUAUGGCGGAAGGAGCUCAUCAACCUUCCGAACUGGACGGCUCCGGCGAGUAAGGGCACUCCGCCUCCUCCUCCGCCUCCUCCUCCGCCUCCUCCUCCGGCGAGUGAUCAGGGCACUCAGCCUCCUUCUCUGGCGCGUGGCGGCACUCCGCCUCCUUCUCCGGCGCGUGGCGGCACUCCGCCUCCUUCUCCGCCUGUGCCGGCGCGCCAGAGCAGCCAGCCUCCUCCUUCUCCGCCUCGUCAGCAAGGGCGGAAGAGACCCGCCGCCGCUCCGGCUGCUCCGGCGCGUCGUAGUCCUUCUCCUCCGCCUCGUAAGCAAGGAAAGAAGACAGCCGCAGCCGCUCCGUCUGCUCUGCCGGCGUCUAGCAGUACAGCUGCCAGAGGCGGGAGGCAAUACAGAUUCGGUCCUUCUUUGAAGACUCCAGAGAAGUUACCAUACGAGAGGACCGAGGAGGAAACCAGGAAGAUCGUGUGAGCCGAAGUGACAAACUUCUUUGAAGGGGUGAAAGCAAAGAAACAUCCACCUCCGGAGGAGAAGGUAGAUCCGGUGAAAGCAAAGCGCACUCUGGCUGCCCUGACAAAACCACCAAAGUCUCCGCCGAGAGGCAACUAUGAGCGCAUUCUUGCAAAGACAUAUGCCGAAGCGGAGCGGUCGGGAAGUACUGUCAGUGAUCAAAGGUUAAAAGAAUGAGGAGCUUGGAAAAAAAUUGCCCAGCUCGGCGAACAAGCGAACCAAUCGUGCCCCCGCUCAAGGUGUCAAAAGACAUCGUCGCUAAUGAUCCGAGGAUGGUGGCCGGUUAUAGCAAUCUUGGAGAUUACCUGCCCGACGAUGUACAUUAUGAAAUCAUGGAGGUGGACGAACACAAAUACCAUUACGGGAAGCCUCUCGUCAAAGAUGAAGAUCUCUAACAACGAUGAUGCGAAGAUUACAUGAUUGGUACAUGAAAACAUGCAGAGAGUCUGAUGGGGUGAAUACUUUGACGCUGAGAGUUAAACCGGAGCAUGACCUCGUUGGAAUUGAACUGCUGAAUGUUCCAUUUGAGGAUUUCUUCCAGUUUUACAAUCAAAAGGCCCUCGAUAAAACAAUGAUCACUUGCUACUGUCUGUAAGUAGUACUACUUCUUUCAUUAAGUCUCUCUAUAUAGGUCAGCUCUUUCAUUGCAUGUAUUUAUAAUUAUCCUCACUAUAUUAUGCAGAUUGAAGAUCGCCGAAUUGAAGAAAAGACAAAUCGGUGAUAUUGGGUUCAUUAACACAAAUCUCAUAGAUGCAUAUACGGUUGAAAAACAUGCCAAAGAAGCCGAGGCCAACUUGCUACGAUCAUUGGUAUUAAAUCAAAACAAAGAUAUAAUACUCUUUCCUUACAACUUCAAGUGAGUGUUACUGUCUUGUGCAUAUUUCGGUUUCCCUUAUUAGUCCAGGUUAUGGUAAUGUAAUUGAUGACUUAUGCAUGCAUGCGCAGCUUCCACUAUAUUCUCCUAGAGAUUAAGCUUGAGCAGGGAGUAGUAACCGUCUUAGACUCGAGACGAAAGGAUCCCCAGGACUAUGCGAACAUGACUCAAAUGCUCGAGAAGUAAGUUAAAUCGAUCAUUAUCCACCAUAUCAGCAACUUUGUUCACUUUUUGAUAUCAAGUAAUUUUUUUCUUUGUCUGGCAGGGUUUGGAGAAAAUUCACCACAAAAGCUCCGGGACUGCCGAAGAAGCUGCAAUUUAAACACCCGAAAGUAAGUACUAUAGUAGCAUGUUCCGCACAUCUCCUAGUGAUUCAAGCGCUAGUUUCAUCAAUACCAUUUAGCAUGCUUGCUUAUCAGUUUGAUUGACCUCUAUUUCUUGUAAAGUGGUUGUGGCAGGAACCCAGGAAUAAUUACUGUGGAUACUACGUUUGCGAGUCCAUCCGCUACACGACCUGUGAGCGGGGCUACUCUGACGAACAAUAUGAAGUGCGUAAGCAAUAAUAUUCACAAUUUUAUUUUAUUACCAUCAUUUGUGUUGAGUUUCAUUUAUUCAUAUAUAUAUGUAUUGACCCCCUUCUUCAAAUUAGAUGUUUCGGAAGCGGGAUGAACUCCUAGCACCAGAUCGUAUGCGAGCAAUUCAAGAGGAAUUGGCGGCAUUCUUCCUUCACCACGUGAUCGCUGAAAACGGAGAAUACUAUGUGGACCCUGUGUUCUUACAAUUUAAUUAGGAGAUUGUAUUGUAAGAGAUAAUUAUUGUAUAUAUGUAGCCGGUAGUGUCGGAUAGAUAUACGAGAACUUGUUGUUCGACCAAUCUCUCGGAGAAGGAGAGGUGGUCGAUAUCACUUCUCUCUGUAUGCAUAUGUUCAUGACGAUCUUCUGUUUCCUUCAUUUGAUUACUAGCUAGCGUGUCUAGUCCUCUCCAUACGUAUAUAGUACGUAGCGUCGACCAAGCACGGAGAUAAGAGAGGACACUUCUCUCUAUUAAUUAGCUAGCUAACACAAUAUAUGAAACACCUAAAUUAACCCCCCCAACCGCCCCCCCCUUUAAAAAAAAACAAAAACCCCAGCCCCUGAAAUGCUGACGCGUGGAUGCCUAUUGGUCCCGGUUGGUGACACCAACCGGGACAAAAGGCCCUGCAUUGNNNNNNNNNNACGAGAACUUGUUGUUCGACCAAUAUCUCGGAGAAGGAGAGGUGGUCGAUAUCACUUCUCUCUGUAUGCAUAUGUUCAUGACGAUCUUCUGUUUCCUUCAUUUGAUUACUAGCUAGCGUGUCUACUCCUCUCCAUACGUAUAUAGUACGUAGCGUCGACCAAGCACGGAGAUAAGAGAGGACACUUCUCUCUAUUAAUUAGCUAGCUAACACAAUAUAUGAAACACCUAAAUUAACCCCCCAAAACCCCUAAACCACCCCCUUUCAAAAAAACAAAAACCUCAGCUCCUGCCAGCUGCUGACGCGUGGAUGCCUAUUGGUCCCGGUUGGUGACACCAACCGGGACAAAAGGCCCUGCCUAUUGGUCCCGGUUGGUGGCACCAACCGGGACCAAAGGCCCCCCUGCCUGGGCUGGCAACAGCGGCCACGUGGAGGACCUUCUGUCCCGGUUCGUGUAAGAACCGGGACUAAAGGGUUAGGGCUUUAGUAACGACCCUUUAGUCCCGGUUCCAUAACCGGGACAAAAGGCCCUUACAAACCGGGGUAAAAGCCCCUUUUCCUACUAGUGUGGGCCUUACGGGCCUGCAUCCUGUCCCAACUAGAGGUUGGGUUUCUAGUCGUAUGCAGGCCGUGCCGGCCAGUAGACGGGAUGCAGGCCCGUACGGCCCAGUAGGCAGGCUGUUUUUGCUUUAUUUCAAAAAAAAUCCUUUAGUCCCCAGACCACGGUGCGCCUGGUGCCACGUGGUGGGCCUUUGGUCCGGGUUCGUGUUGAACCGGGACUAAAGGGUGGGGACCUUUAGUGCCCACCCUUUAGUGCUGGUUUCCAGAACCGGUACUAAAGGCCCUUACGAACCGGUACUAAAAGUCGUUUUUCUACUAGUGAAAGGUGCUCCUUCCAAAUGGAGGGCCUCUAGAGAUUCUACUCCUCCACCCCCCCCCCCCAAGAUGAUUUGCAAGAUAACACAUGCAUAGACAGUCAACAAAGUUGUGUUGAUGAUGAACACAUCUCCCCUCGUUCACCAUCACAGGUGCUCCCACUAACUUGGCACUGUUAUAUGUGGUUGCAUGUUAUGUAUGAUGUCUAGCUUGUAUUUCUUCUAAUUUUUUUGAAUUCCAUCUGCUNNNNNNNNNNCUAAGGAAAGGUGGCCGGCCGGAGAGUUCACCGCGUGGGGGGGGGGGCGAGCGCCAGUGAGGAGGCCCCGACGAUCGCCGGAGGAGUCCCUGAUGUUAAGUGCUAAGGAAAGGGGGCGGCUGGAGAGCUCACCACGGGGAGGGGGCCCCGACGAUCGUCGGAGGAGUCCCCGAUGUUAAGUGCUGAAACUGAUAAAACUUGUCAUUUUGUUAUUGUUUUACACUUGUUGAAAAAAUGCUAGGUUUGAAACUGAUUGUUAUAAAACUUGUCAACUUUGCAUGAUAUUUUCCAUUAAUCCAUUGCUCAUAUGCAUAUGAUUCCUUCUUGUGAUUUGGUCUAUGUAAUGUGUACUUUGAUGCCAUGCCCUUGGUUGCCAUGUAAAGUUGUUGUAGCAUGACUCAAUCUUGCUCUCAAGUUGUCAUCAUAAUGUUGCUGUUCUGCAUUCCCAGAUUUCAUUAAGUCUGAAAAACAGCUUAUCUCUCAUGGUUUUAUAUUGCCAUGUUGUAAUAUUUGCAGAAACUAUGGAACACGACAUAGACUUAGAACAAGAAGAGAUGUUGGGGGAAAUAAUCCGCGACGGAGAUGAUGAUAUCACCUCAUAGUUUCUCAACGACACCGAUGGUGAGGAAAGAGAAGAUGACGGCUCCGGUGAUCGAAUGGAGGGAGGAGAUGACGGCUCCGCCGGUGUUAGAGCCUUAACUGUUGCAAAGUCCGGCAAGGUAUAUAUAUAUAUUAAUAUUAAUUAAGCCUUUGUUGACUAGAUGCAUUAAUUGAUUUGUAUGUACAUAUAUUAAUGAUUCUUUCUUCUUUUAGCCCUCCGGAUCGAGCCAGCCUUCUAUAAGGAGACGAGGCCCGAAAAAAAGGUUGGGCGAGAAUGAAAGGUUCACAAUCGAAGAAGUCGCUGCAGAUGGCAAACCGACUCUUCCCAAGCGGAUCUCAGACCGAUUUAUACAUCAGUGUGGAAUUGUUGUUAGGGACACAUCGAAUUGUUGUUAGGGACACAUCCCGAUCAGCAUCCAAGAAUGGAAUAAGCCAAAGGCGGACAAUGGAGUUUCUUAUGUCAACGAUAGAUCCAAAGAUGAGCUUUGGAAUACGCUCAUGACAAAUUUCAGCCUACCGCCAGAGGUGGAUCCAAAUAACAAUGUUAUAGAGCGAGAAGUCAAGGCAUGGGCUCUUAAGAAGAUGCCCGAACAAUUCAAGAACUGGAAGAAAAGAUUGAAUGAAAAGUUUGUCCUGAAAGAGAAGACUCCAACAUUCACCGGUCAAUAUGAGAAGAUAAAAGUGUUGGAAAUAUGCCCUAGAGGCAAUAAUAAAUUGGUUAUUAUUAUAUUUCCUUGUUCAUGAUAAUCGUUUAUUAUCCAUGCUAGAAUUGUAUUGAAAGGAAACUCAGAUACAUGUGUGGAUACAUAGACAACACCAUGUCCCUAGUAAGCCUCUAGUUGACUAGCUCUUUGAUCAAUAGAUGGUUACGGUUUCCUGACCAUGGACAUUGGAUGUCGUUGAUAACGGGAUCACAUCAUUAGGAGAAUGAUGUGAUGGACAAGACCCAAUCCUAAGCCUAGCACAAGAUCGUGUAGUUCGUUUGCUCAGAGCUUUUCUAAUGUCAAGUAUCGUUUCCUUAGACCAUGAGAUUGUGCAACUCCCGGAUACCGUAGGAAUGCUUUGGGUGUACCAAACGUCACAACAUAACUGGGUGGCUAUAAAGGUGCACUACAGGUAUCUCCGAAAGUGUCUGUUGGGUUGGCACGAAUCGAGACUGGGAUUUGUCACUCCGUGUAAACGGAGAGGUAUCUCUGGGCCCACUCGAUAGGACAACAUCAUAAUGUGCACAAUGUGACCAAGGAGUUGAUCACGGGAUGAUGUGAGUUACGGAACGAGUAAAGAGACUUGCCGGUAACGAGAUUGAACAAGGUAUAGGGAUACCGACGAUCGAAUCUCGGGCAAGUAACAUAUCGAUAGACAAAGGGAAUUGUAUACGGGAUUGAUUGAAUCCCCGACAUCGUGGUUCAUCCGAUGAGAUCAUCGUGGAACAUGUGGGAGCCAACAUGGGUAUCCAGAUCCCGCUGUUGGUUAUUGACCGGAGAAUGUCUCGGUCAUGUCUGCAUGGUUCCCGAACCCGUAGGGCCUACACACUUAAGGUUCGGUGAUGCUAGGGUUAUAGGGAAAAGAUAUACGUGGUUACCGAAUGUUGUUCGGAGUCCCGGAUGAAAUACCGGACGUCACGAGGAGUUCCGGAAUGGUCCGGAGGUAAAGAUUUAUAUAUGGGAAGUCCUGUUUUGGUCACCGGAAAAGUUUCGGGUGAUAUCGGUAAUGUAUCGGGACCACCGGGAGGGUCCCGGGGGUCCACCAAGUGGGGCCACCAGCCCCAGAAGGCUGCGUGGGCCAAGUGUGGGAGGGGACCAGCCCCAGGUGGGCUGGUGCGCCCCCCACCAAGGCCCAAGCGCAUGGGAGAGUGGGAGGGGGCAAACCCUAGGUCCAGAUGGGCCUUAAGGCCCACCCUAGUGGCGCCCCCCCUCUCCUCCCCUUGGCCUCCCCCCCUAGAUGGAUCUAGGGCUGGCCGCCAGCCCUUGGGGGUGGAAACCCUAGAGGGGGCGCAGCCCCUUCCCUCCCUAUAUAUAGUUGAGGUUUGGGGCUGCCCAAGAUAGGAGAACGUCUCUCUUUCGGCGCAGCCCUACCCCUCUCGCUUCUCCUCCUCUCCCGCGGUGCUUGGCGAAGCCCUGCGGGAUUGCCACGCUCCUCCAUCACCACCACGCCGUUGUACUGCUGCUGGAUGGAGUCUUCCCCAACCUCUCCCUCUCUCCUUGCUGGAUCAAGGCGUGGGAGACGUCACCGGGCUGCACGUGUGUUGAACGCGGAGGCACCGUUCUUCGGUGCUCAGAUCGAAAUCAACCGCGAUCUGAAUCGCUACGAGUACGACUCCUUCAUCCGCGUUCUUGCAACGCUUCCGCAUCGCGAUCUACAAGGGUAUGUAGAUCCACUCCCCUUCCCGUCGUUGCUAGAUUACUCCAUAGAUUGAUCUUGGUGAUGCGUAGAAAAUUUUGAAUUUCUGCUACGUUCCCCAAUAGUGGCAUCAUUAGCUAGGUCUAUGCGUAGUUUCUAUGCACGAGUAGAACACAAAGUAGUUGUGGGCGUCGAUGUUGCCAAUUCUUCUUGCCGCUACUAGUCUUAUCUUGUUUCGGCGGCAUUGUGGGAUGAAGCGGCCCGGACCGACCUUACACGUACGCUUACGUGAGACAGGUUCCACCGACUGACAUGCACUAGUUGCAUAAGGUGGCUAGCGGGUGUCUGUCUCUCCCACUUUAGUCGGAACGGAUUCGAUGAAAAGGGUCCUUAUGAAGGGUAAAUAGAAAUUAGCAUAUCACGUUGUGGUUUUACGUAGGUAAGAAACGUUCUUGCUAGAAACCUAUACAAGCCACGUAAAAAAACUUGCAACAACAAUUAGAGGACGUCUAACUUGUUUUUGCAGCAUGUGCUAUGUGAUGUGAUAUGGCUAGAAGAUGUGACGAAUGAUAUAUGUGAUGUAUGAGAUUGAUCAUAUUCUUGUAAUAGGAAUCACGACUUGCAUGUCGAUGAGUAUGACAACCGGCAGGAGCCAUAGCAGUUGUCUUUAUUUUUUAUAUGACCUGCGUGUCAUUGAAUAAUGCCAUGUAAAUUACUUUACUUUAUUGCUAAGCGCGUUAGCCAUGUACUUCAUGAAGACACAAUGAUGGAGAUCAUGAUGAUGGAAAUCAUGGUGUCAUGCCGGUGACAAAGAUGAUCAUGGUGCCCCGAAGAUGGAGAUCAAAGGAGCAAAAUGAUAUUGGCCAUAUCAUGUCACUAUUUGAUUGCAUGUGAUGUUUAUCAUGUUAUGCAUCUUAUUUGCUUAGAACGACGGUAGUAAGUAAGAUGAUCCCUUAUAAUAAUUUCAAGAAAGUGUUCCCCCUAACUGUGCACCGUUGCGAAGGUUCGUUGUUUCGAAGCACCACGCGAUGAUCGGGUGUGAUAGAUUCUAACGUUCGAAUACAACGGGUGUUGACGAGCCUAGCAUGUACAGACAUGGCCUCGGAACACAUGCGAAACACUUAGGUUGACUUGACGAGCCUAGCAUGUACAGACAUGGCCUCGGAACACAAGAGACCGAAAGGUCGAGCAUGAGUCGUAUAGAAGAUACGAUCAACAUGGAGAUGUUCACCGAUGAUGACUAGUCCGUGUCACGUGAUGAUCGGACACGGCCUAGUUUGACUCGGAUCAUGUAUCACUUAGAUGACUAGAGGGAUGUCUAUCUGAGUGGGAGUUCAUUCAAUGAUCAGAUGAACUUCAUUAUCAUGAACAUAGUCAAAAGGUCUUUACAAAUUAUGUCAUUGCGUUUUAGUUCUACUGUUUAAGAUAUGUUCCUAGAGAAAAUUUAGUUGAAAGUUGAUAGUAGCAAUUAUGCGGACUGGGUCCGUAAACUGAGGAUUGUCCUCAUUGCUGCACAGAAGGCUUAUGUCCUUAAUGCACCGCUCGGUGUGCUGAACCUCAGCGUCGUCUGUAGAUGUUGCGAAACAUCUGACAUACACGUUUUGAUGACUACGUGAUAGUUCAGUGCGUAAUGCUAACAGUUUAGAAUUAUGGCACCAAAGACGGUUUUUGAAACGUCGCAGAACAUAUGAGAUGUUCCGAAGACCGAAAUUGGGAUUUCAGACUAGUGCCCACGUCAAGAGGUAUGAGACCUUUGACAAGUUUCUUAAGCCUGCAGACUAAGGGAGAAAAGCUCAAUCGUUGAGCAUGUGCUCAGAUUGUCUGAGUGCCACAAUCGCUUGAAUCGAUUGGGAGUUAAUCUUCCAGAUGAGAUAGUGAUGGUUCUCCAUAGUCACUGCCACCAAGCUAGUAGAGCUUCGUGAUGAACUAUAACAUAUCAGGGAUAGUUAUGAUGAUCCUUGAGCAACUCGCGAUGCUUGACACCGCGAAAGUAGAAAUCAAGAAGGAGCAUCAAUUGUUGAUGGUUAGUGAAACCACUAGUUUCUAGAAGGGCAAGGGCAAAAGGGAUACUUCAUGAAACAGCAAAUCGUUUGCUGCUCUAGUGAAGAAUCCCAAAGUUGAACCCAAACCCGAGACUAAGUGCUUCUGUAAUGAGGGGAACGGUCACUGAAGCUGUACUACCCUAGAUACUUGGUAGAUGAGAAGGCAGGCAAGGUCGACAGAAGUGUAUUGGAUAUACAUUAUAUGAAUGUGUACUUAACUAGUACUCCUAGCAGCACCAGGGUAUUAGAUACCGGUUCGGUUGCUAAGUGUUAGUAACUCGAAAUAAAAGCUGCGGAAUAAACGGAGACUAGCUAAAGGUGAGAUGACGAUAUGUGUUGGAAGUGUUUCCAAGGUUGAUGUGAUCAAGCAUCGCAUGCUCCCUCUACCAUCGAGAUUUGGUGUUUGCAUUGAGCAUGAUUGGAUUAUGUUUAUCGCAAUACGGUUAUUCAUUUAAGGAGAAUAAUGGUUACUCUGUUUAUUUGAAUAAUACCUUCAAUGGUCUUGCACCUAAAAUGAAUCUCCAUCGUAGUAAUACACAUGUUCGUGCCAAAAGAUAUAAAAUAGUAAUGAUAGUACCACAUACUUGUGGCACUGCAAUUUGAGUCAUAUUGGUAUAGAACGCAUGAAGAAGCUCCAUGUAGAUGGGUCUUUGGACUCACUCGUUUUUGAAAAGAUUGAGACAUGCGAACCAUGUGUAUUGGUAUAUAUGCAUGAAGAAAGUCCAUGCAGAUGGAUCAUUUGGACUCACUUGAUUUUGAAUCACUUGAGACAUGCAAAUCAUACCACAUGGGCAAGAUGACUGAAAGGCCUCGUUUUCAGUAAGAUGGAACAAGAGAGCAACUUGUUGGAAGUAAUACAUUUGAUGUGUGCAGUCCAAUGAGUGUUGAGGCACGCAGUGGAUAUCGUUAUGUUCUUACUUCACAGAUGAUUUGAGUAGAUGCUGAGUGUAUUUACUUGAUGAAACACAAGUCUGAAUUAUUGAAAGGUUCAAGUAAUUUCAGAGUGAAGUUGAAGAUCGUCGUGAAAAGAGGAUAAAAUGUCCGUGAUAUGAUCAUAGAGAUGAGUAUCUGAGUUACGAGUUUGGCACACAAUUAAGACAUUGUGAAAAGUGUUUCACAAUUAAUACCGCCUGGAACACCAUAGUGUGAUGGUGUGUCCGAACAUCAUAACUGCACCCUAUUGGAUAUGGUGCAUACCAUGAUGUCUCUUAUCGAAUUACCACUAUCGUUUAUGGGUUAGGCAUUAGAGACAACCGCAUUCACUUUAAAAGGGGCACCACGCAAUUCCGUUGAGACGACACCGUUUAGAGAAACCUAAGUUGUCGUUUCUUAAAAGUUUGGGGCUGCGACGCUUAUGUGAAAAAGUUUCAGGCUGAUAAGCUCGAACCCAAAGCGGAUAAAUGCAUCUUCAUAGAAUACCCAAAACAGUUGGGUAUACCUCCUAUUUCAGAUCUGGAAGCAAAAGUAAUUGCUUCUAGAAACGAGUCCUUUCUCGAGGAAAAGUUUCUCUCGAAAUAAUUGAGUGGGAGGAUGGUGGAGACUUGAUAAGGUUAUUGAACCGUCACUUCAACUAGUGUGUAGCAGGGCACAGGAAGUUGUUCCUGUGGCACCUAUACCAAUUGAAGUGGAAGCUAAUGAUAGUGAUCAUGAAACUUCGGAUCAAGUCACCACCAAACCUCGUAGGACGACGAGGAUGCGUGCUACUUCAGAGUGGUACGUGAUCCUGUCUGAGAUAUCAUGUUGUUGGACAAUACUGAACCUACGAGCUAUGGAGAAGCGAUGGUGGGCCCAUAUUCCGACAAAUGGUUAGAAGCCAUGAAAUCCGAGAUAAAUGGAUCUUUAAGAAGAAGACGGACGUGGACGGUAAUGUUACCGUCUAUGAAGCUCGACUUGUGGCUAAGAGUAUUUCCACAAGUUCAAGGAGUUGACUACGAUGAGAUUUUUCUCAUCCGUAGCGAUGCUUAAGUCCGUCGGAAUCAUGUUAACAUUAGCUGCAUUUAUGAAAUCUGGCAGAUGGAUGUCAAAACAAGUUUCCUUACCAGUUUUCGUAAGGAAAGGUUGUAUGUGAUAUAAUCAGAAAGGUUUUGUCGAUCCUAAGGAUGCUAAAAGGUUGCUAGCUCCAGCGAUCCUUCCAUGGACUAGAGCAAGCAUCUCGGAGUUAGAAUAUACGCUUUGAUGGAGUGAUCAAAGUUUUUGGUUUUAUACAAAGUUUGUUAGAAACUUGUAUUUACAAUAAAGUGAGUGGGAGCGCUACAACAUUUCUGAUAAGUAUAUGUGAAUGACAUAUUGUUGAUCCGAAAUGAUGUAGAAUGUCUGGAAAGCAUAAAGGGUUGUUUGAAAGGAGUUUUUCAAAGGAAGACCUGGAUAAAGCUGCGUACAUAUUGGGCAUCAAGAUCUAUAGAGAUAGAUCAAGACGCCCGAUGAUACUUUCAAAGAACGCACACCUUGACAUGAUUUUGAAAGAGUUCAAAAUAGAUCAGCAAAGAAGGAGUUCUUGGCUGUGUUACAAGGUGUGAGUAUUGAGUAAGACUCAAGACCUGACCACAGCAGAAGAGAGAGAAAGGACGAAGGUCGUCCCCUAUGCUUUAGACGUAGGCUCUACAGUAUGCUAUGUUGUGUACCGCACAUGAAGUGUGCCUUGCCAUGAGUUGGUCAAGGGGUACAAUAGUGAUCCGGGAAUGGAUCACAUGACAGCGUUCGAACUUAUCCUUAGUAUCUAGUGGACUGAGGAAUUUUCUCGAUUAUGGAGGUGAAAUGGGGUUCGUCGUAAAGGGUUACGUUGAUGCGAACUUUGACACUAAUCCGGAUGACUCUGAGUAGUAAACCGGAUUCGUAUAGUAGAGCAGUAAUUUGAAAUGGCUCCAAGUAGCGCGUGGUAGCAUCCACAAGAUGACAUAGAUAUUCGUAAAGCACACACGGAUCUGAAAGGUUCAGACCCGUUGACUAAUAACCUCUCUCACAAGCAUAACAUGAUCAAACCAGAACUCAUUGAGUGUUAAUCACAUAGUGAUGUGAACUAGAUUAUUGACUCUAGUAAACUCUUUAGAUGUUGGUCACAUGGUGAUGUGACCUGUGACUGUUAAUCACAUGGUGAUGUGAACUAGAUUAUUGACUCUAGUGCAAGUGGGAGACUGUUGGAAAUAUGCCCUAGAGGCAAUAAUAAAUUGGUUAUUAUUAUAUUUCCUUGUUCAUGAUAAUCGUUUAUUAUCCAUGCUAGAAUUGUAUUGAAAGGAAACUCAGAUACAUGUGUGGAUACAUAGACAACACCAUGUCCCUAGUAAGCCUCUAGUUGACUAGCUCGUUGAUCAAUAGAUGGUUACGGUUUCCUGACCAUGGACAUUGGAUGUCGUUGAUAACGGGAUCACAUCAUUAGGAGAAUGAUGUGAUGGACAAGACCCAAUCCUAAGCCUAGCACAAGAUCGUGUAGUUCGUUUGCUCAGAGCUUUUCUAAUGUCAAGUAUCGUUUCCUUAGACCAUGAGAUUGUGCAACUCCCGGAUACCGUAGGAAUGCUUUGGGUGUACCAAACGUCACAAUGUAACUGGGUGGCUAUAAAGGUGCACUACAGGUAUCUCCGAAAGUGUCUGUUGGGUUGGCACGAAUCGAGACUGGGAUUUGUCACUUCGUGUAAACGGAGAGGUAUCUCUGGGCCCACUCGGUAGGACAUCAUCAUAAUGUGCACAAUGUGACCAAGGAGUUGAUCACGGGAUGAUGUGAGUUACGGAACGAGUAAAGAGACUUGCCGGUAAUGAGAUUGAACAAGGUAUAGGGAUACCGACGAUCGAAUCUCGGGCAAGUAACAUAUCGAUAGACAAAGGGAAUUGUAUACGGGAUUGAUUGAAUCCCCGACAUCGUGGUUCAUCCGAUGAGAUUAUCGUGGAACAUGUGGGAGCCAACAUGGGUAUCCAGAUCCCACUGUUGGUUAUUGACCGGAGAACGUCUCGGUCAUGUCUGCAUGGUUCCCGAACCCGUAGGGUCUACACACUUAAGGUUCGAUGAUGCUAGGGUUAUAGGGAAAAGAUAUACGUGGUUACCGAAUGUUGUUCGGAGUCCCGGAUGAAAUCCCGGACGUCACGAGGAGUUCCGGAAUGGUCCGGAGGUAAAGAUUUAUAUAUGGGAAGUCCUGUUUUGGUCACCGGAAAAGUUUCGGGUGAUAUCGGUAAUGUACCGGGACCACCGGGAGGGUCCCGGGGGUCCACCAAGUGGGGCCACCAGCCCCAGAAGGCUGCAUGGGCCAAGUGUGGGAGGGGACCAGCCCCAGGUGGGCUGGUGCGCCCCCCCACCAAGGCCCAAGCGCAUGGGAGAGUGGGAGGGGGCAAACCCUAGGUCCAGAUGGGCCUUAAGGCCCACCCUAGUGGCGCCCCCCCUCUCCUCCCCUUGGACGCCCCCCUAGAUGGAUCUAGGGCUGGCCGCCAACCCUUGGGGGUGGAAACCCUAGAGGGGGCGCAGCCCCUUCCCCCCCUAUAUAUAGUUGAGGUUUGGGGCUGCCCAAGAUAGGAGAACGUCUCUCUUUCGGCGCAGCCCUACCCCUCUCCCUUCUCCUCCUCUCCCGCGGUGCUUGGCGAAGCCCUGCGGGAUUGCCACGCUCCUCCAUCACCACCACGCCGUCGUACUGCUGCUGGAUGGAGUCUUACCCAACCUCUCCCUCUCUCCUUGCUGGAUCAAGGCGUGGGAGACGUCACCGGGCUGCACGUGUGUUGAACGCGGAGGCACCGUUCUUCGGUGCUCAGAUCGGAAUCAACCGCGAUCUGAAUCGCUACGAGUACGACUCCUUUAUCCGCGUUCUUGCAACGCUUCCGCAUCGCGAUCUACAAGGGUAUGUAGAUCCACUCCCCUUCCCGUCGUUGCUAGAUUACUCCAUAGAUUGAUCUUGGUGAUGCGUAGAAAAUUUUGAAUUUCUGCUACGUUCCCCAACAAAAAGAUCACUGGCCCCCAUUUGUGGUGUACAAGACAUCCGAGAAAGGUAAGAAAAUGUCACAGAUAAAUAAGCAAAAUGCUGCAAAGAAGGAAUAUCCCCAUGUUACUGGGUCAGGUGGCUACAAGGUUGCCCGGCCUACGUGGGGCAAAGCUGAGAACGACAUGCUUGAUAAAGGGAUCCAUCCAGAGAUACUGAACAGACCCGAACGGGCAAGGGCUUGGUUCUUCGGGUAUGGGGGAACUUUGAACCCAGAAACGGGGAAGUGUGUUUAUACAGAAGCUCAACUUGCAACACCCAUAAAAAACAUUCAGGAUGCAAUCCAGGUCAUGCAGGAAGGGAAGUUCCAUCCCAACAGAGAGAAGGACGAGCUGUCACGCGCCCUCGGGAAUCCUGAACACCCUGAACGAACACGAGGCACAUCAGGCUCCGUUUCGUGGAAGGCUGGGUUUCCCGACAACAGUGCCACUUAUAGAAGUCGAGGGAGAAAGAAGAAAGAAGAAAGAGGAAGCCGUGAUAGGUUAGUCCAAAUAAAUAUUAUGCCAAAAACAUAAGUAAAUGAUGUAAAUAUAGCAUGAAUACUAACAAGAUUAUAGAUACGUUGGAGACGUACCAUGUUGCAUUUGUGCAUAGUUAUGGAUUGAUGCGUCGAGGAACUCUGUGACCUUGGGGUGGUUCUAAGAAAGAAACACAUCGUGGUUAGUUGUGAUUGGAAUGGUAGAAAGGCUUAAACAAGUGGUAUGUGCGCCACUCGCGAUGUGUCCUUGGUACUUCAUAGGGCUUUGUCUCCGAAGGAUCAAGCAGGUGUCCUGAUCCCGUGAUCCACGCUAAGGUCUCUGAGCUUGGACACUGUGAUCCAUUUCGCUCUCCACUUCCCAAGGUGGUUGUAGGCCAGGGUCGAGGUGACCACUUGGCCACAUAACUCGAACACCUACUUGGCAACAGAGUUCAAGUGCGCCUCCUUGAAGCCCUUGUCAGCCCUCACCGCACUGGCUAUGAUAUCACACAUCUUGUUAAGCAUGAAUGUGGAUAGGAACAGCUACCAUUCCUGGAGUUUCCCUCCAAUCCUUUUUUUCCUUGACGACUACCUUUUGUGCACCGGCAUUAGGGACAACCAACACAAAUGUUUUAGACAUAAAUGGUGGAGCCAUAGCGGGUCCUCAAAGACAUCUGAAUCUGAAGGCAUCUGCUCCUUGAUGAUAGGCCGGGAUUACUCAACAUAGGACGCCGGGAACUGGCUCUCGGGCAUGACAAUGGGCUGGCUAAGCUCUUGCGUGGUCAUGUGCUAUAGGCGUUAGCAUCAACAGGAGUGGAGCACACUACCCAUAGACAGUACGGAUGAGCACUAAGCAUGGACAGUAUAAAUGAGCACUACACAUGGACAACAUGAACGAGCACUACACAUAGAUAGUAUGAGUAAGGACUACAAAUGGAGAGUAAGCAUAGUACACACGGAUCAUCUAGUUCAACACACCCCCAUAUAACUGUUCUUCAAUCUCAAAGCAUACCAUGGAGUCAACACACUACCACACAUCUACAUACUUGCAAACUAGCAUACUACACAUGAACUUGCAUGCUACCAAUCCAUCACACUAGCUAUCAAUCCUUGAUGACAUGGAAACAACACCUAACAUCCUAUAAACCAUCGCCACUAACUACACAACAUCACAUUCUCACAAAUCAAACAGUGUAGAAUGCUACAACAUGGUCACAUAUCUAAUCCUAUCACAUGCUCACAGAUCUAGCUAAAAUGAGUUAAGAGGAGGGAAUGAUCGAAGUCACAUCCAUCGGAGCAGUCGGAAAGGCGGCGCGAAACAGGUCGAGGAAGAGGAGGACAUGAAUCGCCGCCGUCAUGUACCGCCGGGCGGAGAAGAAGCGUCACUUACCUGCUCGUCGGUGUCGAUGCGUGCGAGAGGGAAAGCUCGAAAGGGGAGGAAUGGUGGCGGGAGUUUGGGGGGUGAGGUGAGGGCGAGUAUAUAGGUGACCGAAUCGGCCGGAGGUGACCCCGAUUUCUCCCACCGCUUUUUCAAAGACGCACGCGAGCUCGUGCCAUCUCUAUGGCCUCAUGAGCUUGGCACCACAUUCCCCUCCCCUGCAUCGUCCGAGUCUGGCUAAGGGGCAAUGGUCGAAUCGGCUGUUCCUAAGAGGAAUAGCUGGGAGAUGCUUUAAGGUUCGUGCAAUGCAGGCCAAACAGUGAAUACAUGCAACCAAACGAAUUAUUUUUAUCCCAGUCAAACUUGGUUGGUUUGUACGCAGGCAACCUAAACACCCCCAAGUUUGUGUAAAUGUACUCACAGCGGUCAUUUUUACUCCGCGUAUUAGAUUUGCGUCAAGUCAAACUUUAUAAAAUUUGACCAAAUUUAUAUUAAAAAAAUAUCAACAUCUACAACACCAAAAAAUAUAUGUACUAUGAAACUACAUUUCAUAAUGAAUCUAACAACAUUAACAAUAUUUCGCAUUUUUAAUGUUGAUGCCUUUUCUAUAUGUUUAAUCAAAAUAGAGAUACUUUAACUUUGAACCAAAAAACUUAUGCGCAGGCUAAAAGUGACCAGAGUGCACGCUCCUCCAAUGUUCGUAUUCACUCCGUCUAGGUGUGAACCAAAUAGUCUCAAAAUACUUAGACACGGUACAUUAACUCCCUCCUUAUUUCUUGUUUUGUGACAUAUCAACCAAUAAAAAAUGUGGACGGUGUUGUGGGUAGUAGCUCAAUUUGCUCGCUCAUGGUCACGAGAGAGCCGAGAGCCGAGGCUGAUGAUCUCACGUGCUCUCUCCUCCGGCUGUGCCGUUCCGCUGCUCUGAUUGGCCCGCGGCCCCCUCCCACGGAUCAUGCCCCCAAGCGAACAUCCACCGUCCACGCCGCCCUCCAUCCAACGGCCCGCGCCCCACAUCACGCGGAUCGCCCCCCGAAUCCCGCGGGUAUAUAAUCCCAGCCGCGGCGCCUCCAUUUUCAAACCACCUCAACCUCCACAGCUCAACUUCCACCCACUCUCAAACCCUCUCGCCGGAGCCCCCAGCAAGGAGCAAGCAAGCAAGAUGGACGGCAGCAAGGCGAAGAAGGUGGCGGCGAAGAAGUUCGGCGGGCCGAGGAAGAAGUCGGUGACCAAGUCCAUCAAGGCUGGGCUCCAGUUCCCCGUCGGCCGCAUCGGGCGCUACCUCAAGAAGGGCCGCUACGCCCAGCGCGUCGGCUCCGGCGCCCCCGUCUACCUCGCCGCCGUCCUCGAGUACCUCGCAGCCGAGGUACGCGCACCACACCACGCCACCGUUAUACUCCUCGUCGACACCCUCCCUUCCGGCCUGCCUCUCUCUCCCCGGUCUGAAACGAGCUGCUGAUCUUGUUUUGCAGGUGCUGGAGCUGGCCGGGAACGCCGCCAAGGACAACAAGAAGACCCGGAUCGUGCCCAGGCACCUGCUGCUGGCCAUCCGCAACGACCAGGAGCUCGGGAGGCUGCUGAGCGGCGUCACCAUCGCCCACGGCGGCGUCAUCCCCAACAUCAACCCGGUGCUGCUCCCCAAGAAGGCCGCUGAGAAGGCUGAGAAGGCCGGCGCCGCCCCCAAGUCGCCCAAGAAGACCACCAAGUCCCCCAAGAAGGCCACCAAGGCCUAGAUCCGGCCGUGCCGGUGAACUGAUGGUGCUCCGGCAGCCCUCGUGUGCCUAGUGUCUCUGUGUUAAGUUAGCUAUGGUGUGUUCCAGAGAGUGUUGAAGCUUGUCCUUUUGCUUUGCCCCACCAUGUAACCGUGAACGAAGAGGAAGCGUCUUGCUUCCUCUGUUCUUCUGAAUCCAUCUGGUGUCUAAUGCAGUGUUUGUUAAAGUGCCUCUGAAUUUCCGUUCUAUUUUAACUGUAUUUGCAUCUGUUGCACGUUUG
rnacentral:lncRNA from 1 species